CGUCCGGCGGUGAGCAGCAUGAUUCUCCACGGCAAGGUGGCUCUGGUCACCGGCGGCGCGCAAGGGAUCGGAAGAGCCGUGGUGGAAGAUCUCCUGGGGAAUGGGGCGAAGGUUGCAAUGGUAGACCUAAACCAGUCUGUGGGAGAGGAAUGUAAAAGUGAUCUAGAUGGCCAGUUUGGAGAGGAUAGCUGUAUUUUUAUCCAGUGUGAUGUGACGGACUCGGAGAAAUUUAAAGACGCCUUUCAAAACACAGUAGAUAGGUUUGGUCGAUUGGAUAUUGUCAUCAAUAACGCUGGAAUCAACAACGAGAAGAACUGGGAAAAGACCAUUGAAGUAAAUUUGACAUCCGUCAUAAAGGGGACAUAUUUAGCACUAGAACACAUGAGUAAAGAGUAUGGAAAGGAAGGAGGAGGGGUUAUCAUCAACGUCUCAUCCAUGGCAGCAUUUCUCCAUUCUGCUCACCAGCCAGUGUACACAGCAACAAAGCAUGGGGUGAUUGGAUUUUCACGAGCCAUAGCAGCUGACCGUGUUUGGACACGUUUUGUUGUCGGCAGGACGCAUCUGAACAGGGCAAUUAUGGAGUGAGGAUCAACACACUGUGCCCAGCCUUUGUGGACACCCAACUACUACUGACCGUGGAGCAUGAGGAAACAAUGGGCAAGUUUGUCAAGUACAAGGAUGAAUUCAAACAAAGGAUGGACAAGUAUGGCGUUCUUAAACCAUCUCUUAUUGCUGAAGGAAUGCUGCGAAUCAUAACAGACGAAAGCCUAAAUGGAGCCGUGAUGAAAAUAACCUGUUCUAAAGGCAUUCACUUCCACACCUAUGAGCCUCUUUCAGCUUGAGAGUGAUGAACAAUCAAGCCAGUCCUGUUUAUUCCUCACCAGAACAUUUAUUUUAUUGAAGUCCAGGGCAAACACUGGAAAUAAAUAGGGAGGGUAUAGAUUGUGUUAGAGGAGAGUUUUCUGUUUUUCAAUUAUCAGUUUUG